GCUUUAGUCUCUUUCUCUACUUAUCAAUUCUUGAGUUUGAGUCACUGACUUACUUCCUUAUCUAUAAAAAGUGCAGUCAUUUCUUCCUCAGCACACCUCUAAAAUGAUUUUGAUCGUUUUAACUUAUGUGUUGAAAAUAUAUCCUAUAUUCUGCUUAUGAUGAAUAUUAUACCUCUGCGCAGGUUAACCUCUGUCACAUUAUCUCAC